rnacentral:snRNA from 1 species
CUGCUCACUUGGGCAGCACGUAUACUAAAACUGGAAUGAUAUAGAGAAGAUUAGCAUGGCCCCUGUGCAAAGAUGAUAUACAAAUUCCAAGUUUUCCAUAUUUUU